rnacentral:rRNA from 1 species
AGUGAACGCUGGCGGCAGGCCUAACACAUGCAAGUCGAACGGACGCACAGUGAGCGCUUGCUCUUACGGGUGGCGAGUGGCGGACGGGUGAGGCAUGCAUAGGAUACCUCUUUUACGGGGGUGAUAACGUAGAACAGGUUCUGCUAAUACCGCAUACGUUGUACGGGUGAAAGCAGUGGUUAUACGGACCUUUCGCGUUAGAUAGAGACGGUGUCGGAUUAGCUAGUUGGCAGGGUAAGGGCAUACCAAGGCGACGAUACGUAGCUGGUCUGAGAGGAUGAUCAGCCACACUGGAACUGAGACACGGUCCAGACUCCUACGGGAGGCAGCAGUGGGGAAUCUUACGCAAUGGGCGAAAGCCUGAUCCAGCCAUACCGCGUGAGUGAUGAAGGUCUUCGGGUUGUAAAACCCUGUUGUUGGGAAAGAACAAAAGUGGGUUAAUCCCCGGCUGUUCUGACGGUACCCAAAGAAUAAGCCCCGGCUAACUUCGUG